rnacentral:rRNA from 1 species
AUUGAACGCUGGCGGCAGGCCUAACACAUGCAAGUCGAACGGUGUGGCGGACGGGUGAGUAAUGUCUGUGAAACUGCCUGCUGGAGGGGGAUAACGUCGGGAAACGGGCGCUAAUACCGCAUACUAUCAGAUGAGGCUAGGUUGGAUUAGCUAGUUUGGGUGGUAAAGGCCUACCAGGGGGACGAUCCGUAGCUGGUCGGAGAGGAUGAUCGGUCAAACUGGAACUGAGACACGGUCCAGACUCCUACGGGAGGCAGCAGUGGGGAAGUUUGGACAAUGGGCGAAAGCCUGAACCAGCCAUGCCGCGUGUGUGAAGAAGGUCUUCGGAUUGUAAAGCACUUUAAGUUGGGAGGCGUUACCAACAGAAGAAGCACCGGCUAACUUCGUGCCAGCAGCCGCGGUAAUAC